rnacentral:rRNA from 1 species
AUACGGAAGGUCCUGGCGUUAUCCGGAUUUAUUGGGUUUAAAGGGAGCGCAGGCCGGUGUGUAAGCGUGACGUCAAAUACAGCCGCUCAACGGUUGUCCGCGUCGCGAACUGCACGCCUUGAGUACGCUGCAAGUGGGCGGAAUUCGUGGUGUAGCGGUGAAAUGCUUAGAUAUCACGAAGAACUCCGAUUGCGAAGGCAGCCCGCUGUCGCGUGACUGACGCUGAGGCUCGAAGGUGCGGGUAUCGAACGGGAUUAGAUACCCUGGUAGUCCGCACUGUAAACGAUGGAUGCCCGCUGUCCGCGCAUUGCCGCGGGUGGCCAAGCGAAAGCGUUAAGCAUCCCACCUGGGGAGUACGCCGGCAACGGUGAAACUCAAAGGAAUUGGCGGGG